GUGCUUGCUUCGGCUGCACAUAUACUAAAUUUUGAACAAUACAGAGAUUAGCAUGGCUCCUAUGUAAGGAUGACACAGAAAUUUAUUCCAUAUUUUU
ensembl:snRNA U6 U6 spliceosomal RNA